CCUACGGGAGGCAGCAGUAGGGAAUAUUGCUCAAUGGGGGAAACCCUGAAGCAGCAACGCCGCGUGAAGGAUGAAGGUUUUCGGGGUGUAAACUCCUUUUGAUAGAGGAGAUAAUGACGGUAUCUAACGAAUAAGCACCGGCUAACUCCGUGCCAGCAGCCGCGGUAAUACGGAGGGUGCAAGCGUUACUCGGAAUCACUGGGCGUAAAGAGCGCGUAGGCGGGUUAGCAAGUCAGAUGUGAAAUUCUAUGGCUUAACCAUAGAAUUGCAUUUGAAACUGUUAUUCUAGAGUAUGGUAGAGGUAGGCGGAAUUCUUGGUGUAGGGGUAAAAUGCGUAGAGAUCAAGAGGAAUACUGAUUGCGAAGGCGACUUGCUAGAACAUAACUGACGCUGAUGCUCGAAAGCGUGGGUAGCAAACAGGAUUAGAUACCCUAGUAGUC
rnacentral:rRNA from 1 species